GACGAACGCUGGCGGCGUGCUUGACACAUGCAAGUCGAACGGUAAGGCCCUUCGGGGUACACGAGUGGCGAACGGGUGAGUAACACGUGGGUGAUCUGCCCUGCACUUCGGGAUAAGCCUGGGAAACUGGGUCUAAUACCGGAUAGGACCACUGCCUGCAUGGGUGGUGGUGGAAAGCUUUUGCGGUGUGGGAUGGGCCCGCGGGCUAUCAGCUUGUUGGUGGGGUGAUGGCCUACCAAGGCGACGACGGGUAGCCGGCCUGAGAGGGGGACCGGCCACACUGGGACUGAGAUACGGCCCAGACUCCUACGGGAGGCAGCAGUGGGGAAUAUUGCACAAUGGGCGCAAGCCUGAUGCAGCGACGCCGCGUGAGGGAUGACGGCCUUCGGGUUGUAAACCUCUUUCAGCACCGACGAAGCGCAAGUGACGGUAGGUGCAGAAGAAGGACCGGCCAACUACGUGCCAGCAGCCGCAGUAA
rnacentral:rRNA from 1 species